GCUUGUUCAGCAUAGGUGCAGUCCAAAGCUCAAAUGGAGAUCACAUUAAGCCCAGAAAUACUCACUGAAUAACAUCUCCAGCCAUUACGUCCAGGGUAUCCAGCACAGAAAGACAUUUUAACUUUAUUGUUUGUUUUUUUAAAUAUCAUCCACCCCAAUUACUACAACUUUCCCAUGUAAAAUUCUCUCACACUUUUUGAAUCACCGGUUAGGUCAUAAUUUAUCUUCCUUAAAAAGAUGCUCCUGAAUGUAAUCCUAGCAGCUGAUCUAUAUACAUGGCUGCUGAGAGCAGGUUCAGGCCCUCCAGCAAGGGCGGACUGGCUAAACAGGGCUGACAAAGCCAGAAAUGCUGACCAUUUUCAGAGAUGAAACCAGGCAUCUGGGAGAAUUUACAAAGGACAGUACAAAGCCCUAAGCACAGAAAGCGGAACACAGGAAACCGAAGAAAAAGAGGCACUUACACUCAAACUGCAAGUCUCUCCACCCUCACAUGUCUUCACUCUCAUCUCGUCUGAAUAAGAGAAGACAUGAAUUCCUGAAAAU
rnacentral:lncRNA from 1 species